rnacentral:rRNA from 1 species
UACAGGGGGGCAAGCGUUGUUCGGAAUUACUGGGCGUAAAGGGCCAGUAGGCGGCCAACUAAGUCACACGUGAAAUCCCCAGGCUUAACCCUGGGAACUGCGUGUGAUACUGGAUGGCUUGAAUUCGGGAGAGGGAUGCAGAAUUCCAGGUGUAGCGGUGAAAUGCGUAGAUAUCUGGAGGAAUACCGGUGGCGAAGGCGGCGAUCCUGGACCGACAUUGACGCUGAACGGCGAAAGCUAGGGAGCAAACGGG